rnacentral:rRNA from 1 species
CAACCGAGAUUCCCCCAGUAGCGGCGAGCGAACGGGGAGGAGCCCAGAGCCUGAAUCAGUGUGUGUGUUAGUGGAAGUGUCUGGAAAGGCGCGCGAUACAGGGUGACAGCCCCGUACACAAAAAUGCACAUGCUGUGAGCUCGAUGAGUAGGGCGGGACACGUGGUAUCCUGUCUGAAUAUGGGGGGACCAUCCUCCAAGGCUAAAUAC